ensembl:snoRNA
UGGACCAGUGAUGCCUACUGGUGGCGUAUAUGAUGAAUACUAUGUGUGUGGAAGCCUGAGGUCCAG